GACGAACGCUGGCGGCGUGCCUAAUACAUGCAAGUAGAACGCUGAAGGAGGAGCUUGCUCUUCUGGAUGAGUUGCGAACGGGUGAGUAACGCGUAGGUAACCUGCCUGGUAGCGGGGGAUAACUAUUGGAAACGAUAGCUAAUACCGCAUAACAGUAGAUGUUGCAUGACAUUUGCUUAAAAGGUGCAAUUGCAUCACUACCAGAUGGACCUGCGUUGUAUUAGCUAGUUGGUGGGGUAACGGCUCACCAAGGCGACGAUACAUAGCCGACCUGAGAGGGGGAUCGGCCACACUGGGACUGAGACACGGCCCAGACUCCUACGGGAGGCAGCAGUAGGGAAUCUUCGGCAAUAGACGGAAGUCUGACCGAGCAACGACGCGUGAGUGAAGAAGGGUUUCGGAUCGUAAAGCUCUGUUGUAAGAGAAGAACGAGUGUGAGAGUGGAAAGUUCACACUGUGACGGUAUCUGACCAGAAAGGGACGGCUAACUACGUG
rnacentral:rRNA from 1 species